rnacentral:misc_RNA from 1 species
CCUACAGGGUUAGAAAACGCAAACAAGCUAUGGUCGAAUCGAUGAAAAAUUCUGUUAAAGGCGUUUUGACCUGGGGAUCGAACACCAGCAACACAUCCGCUUCCUCGUCGCCUCCGCCCGCCUACGUAGAACUCGAGGUUCCAGGAUAGGGAAGACAUAGAGAGCAGUCAGUCUGAAGAGAGUCUGGAUUUGACGCCGGCAGAGAAUCCGGUAUUGACGCAAGUCACUUACCUGCUGUACUUCCUUCUGUGGGCAACGCUUUACAUGAUAGCAC